rnacentral:misc_RNA from 1 species
GGGAAGCAGCAAAGCGGGGAACGCAAAGGGCACGAGCGGGGAGGCCGGAAAGGAGGCCAGGGGGAGGGGCAGGGAAAGAAAAAUCGGGGUUGUGGCGGCCGGGCGUGGUGACGCGUCGGAAUUGGGUCGUCUUACCUUCGGUUAAGUGACUUAAAAUUUUUGCAUGAUUUUCGAACGUAUUUAAAUCGCUUACGUACGUUUGAGAUAUCGAAUGCUUAUUAGGGUCGGUCAUUCCCAUGAUUCACGCCUAUAAUUUUUCAUUAAAUGACCUCAAAUCAGGUAAGAAUACCCGCUGAACUUA